AAGAAUUUAAAGGUCGAACAGACCUAUUUUUUAAGCGGCUACACCUAAUUAUAAUCUUAAUCCAACAUCGAGGUCGCAAGCCUCCCUGUGAAUAUGAACUCUAAAGGAAGAUUACGCUGUUAUCCCUAAGGUAACUUAUUCUAAUAAUCAGUAAAACUGGAUCUAUUUCUCAUAUAUCAAUGUUAUAUAAAUAAAAAAGUUAAUUAUAUAUUUUUGUCACCCCAACAAAAUAUUUUAUUAAAUAAUAAAUAAUAAUUACAUCAAAAAUUUAUUAAAUAAUUAAAUAUAAAGCUCUAUAGGGUCUUCUCGUCUUCCAAUAAUAUUUCAGCUUUUUGACUGAAAAAGUAAAUUUUAACACCAAAUUAAAUGAGACAGUAAGUACUUCGUUAAACCCUUCAUUCCAGCCCUCUAUUAAAAGACUAAUGAUUAUGCUACCUUUGCACGGUCAAUAUACCGCGGCCGUUAAAAUAUUUCACUGGGCAGGUCAGACUUCUUAUUUUAUCAAGAAGAC
rnacentral:rRNA from 1 species